GACCCCGUGCGACAACUUUCCUGCAAGGACUCACCUUAAACGUGAAGUUUUGAAAGUGGACUAGAUGCUGUGGGUUCUUCCUUCCUUGGCAAACAAUAUCUAUCUACAAAGCUGCCCUUAACAUUUACCACCUUUGAGCUUCUUCUGGUAUAGGAACUACUAAAUGUAGCAGAAAUACAGAUCCUGAGUUCCACCCAAGGCUUACUGCAUAAGAAGCUACAUGUGAACAAGUGGACCAGGUAAUGUGUGUUCCUGGAUAUCCAGGACUAUUCCCUGUUCUACGCUGCCCAGGAGAAAAGGGACCCUGUUGGACCUGGCGUUCCAUGGCAUGACUGUUUCUACCAAGUGGCCUCAAGAGGCUCUGUAGGAUUCAGCCACCGCAGGUACUUACCCACUCUUCCCAGGCACCAUUAGGAUUCUGGCUGAUGAUGGGUUCCAGACGCUGCAUGAGGAUCUGACAGGCAUUCUGUGGGAUGGAGGGGACAAUAAAGCAACUGAGAAUUAAAGGGCACCUUCCAGACAUGAUCCUGCUGUCCUACCACCUGUCCCUGCACCCCCUGCCUCCCUCAGAUGUCAUCAUGUGAUUUGUCUCCAAAUUUGUGUCCUCAUGUGAUCUGGCCAGGACCCUGGUCAUCCCCUGUAGUAAUGAUGCUGAUGUGGAGUUUUGGGGUCCACCACAGAAGCUGAGAGGGAAUUCAGAAGGAUGCAAACCCUUUCUCUCAGUGUAGCCACAGCAACUAAUUGAUUAUUUGAGUUUGUUUCUGUGUCAACAUUUCAUUUGAGGUUUGUCAAAUAUUGAGCAAAGAUAUGAAACCACUACCCAGGGAAAUGGGCACAAAAGUGACUCCAGAUCAGCUGCUGGGUCACACAGAAAGGCAACCUGGGGUGCUGUGAAAUGAGUUUAGAGUUUGAACAUCUUUUGCUCUCCAUAGCCUGGGACCUCAUUUAUGACCUGAAGAUAUCAGCAAUGAACAACCACAUCUUUUCACUUUUCCCAGGCCAAGUCCCACCUGCUCUUGCCAAAUUGUAUAGUGACUACUGACUCCCUUUGACCUGCUUUGGCUUGGAUGCUGUUGACGUUCUAAUGUUGACGUUCAACCUCAGAUGGUUGUUUCAGAUUAGAUUGCCAUAGUACGGGCUGCUAUCUCAGGGGCUUUAGUUCAGAGACAAUCAUCAAAGUGUAUGGACACGGAAUUUGGGAAUCUAGCAGCUACCGAGUCAUGGCUACCAAGAUCUGCUGAACCAACCAGACACAAGGGCCAUUGUCUCAACAAGGCUGCUCCGUCUCACCUAGAGGGAAGUGUGUGGUAGUUUUAUUCGUGUGUGUGUGUGUGUGUGUGUGUGUGUGUAUGUGUGUUGGGAUCAGUUUAAGCAGCGCUUUUGAACUUCAUAUUCCUCUGCAUGGAAAGAGACAUGAAGGUAAAGAAUGGAGUCAAUUUGCAUUUGAAGCAUUCAAGGAGGAGACCUGCUUGCUCUGACUUAGGACUCAAGACUCUGCAUCUCAUGUGGGACUUCUCCUCAAGCCCCUGACUUCUACAGACACCCAUAACAGGCUGAGAGCAGUGGGUCAUGUUCUGUUUUGUACUCCAGAUGACUCUUUAGCCAGAGGCGUUCUCACCUGCCUUUGUGAUGUUAGUGUCUUAGCAUGUUCUUGAAAUAUAUGAAGCAAAUAUAGACUUUAUACUGCUAGGUAA